GGGGGAGAAAUGCUCGGAAAAAAUUGGAUGAGGCUCCCGCGAGAGAGACGGGAGGUUUCUCAAGGGUUGUUGCCCCUCUUUUGCCACUACAUGAUCCCAAAUUGGGUCAUGUUGAGCCGAUGAUUUCGUCCCCCCAGUUCUUCACCAUCAAUCAACAACAGCCCUUGAAGAACAGGCRGAAAGAUGAAACCAAAAGGAUUUGAUGAAUUCUAAGAGGCUGUGAUGAUGAAUUUGUUUGCAUCUGAGUGGAUCCGAUCAAAGUUAGAGAUAAUACGCAUCUUGGCAGGGUAAUCCGGAUGGUUAUGUGGAAGAAAGAAGACUUCUUAGUCUCAGUUCUUCGACAUUGCAACCAGGAAAGUUUGCAGCCAUGGCGGAUUCAUCCUCUUUGUUCGAUUGUUUACAAUCUGAGCCUCACAUUUUUAAAUCGAACCUCAAUUUACACGUUCUUUAAAAUCUUUUUCUUACAUAUUGAAGAGUUAAUCGAAAAUUAUGGUGAUUGGGUGUUUCUUUC